rnacentral:rRNA from 1 species
UUAGGAAUCUUGCGCAAUGGGCGAAAGCCUGACGCAGCAACGCCGCGUGGGGGAUGAAGGCUCUCGGGUUGUAAACCCCUUUCAGCAGGGACGAUUAUGACGGUACCUGCAGAAGAAGGACCGGCCAACUACGUGCCAGCAGCCGCGGUAAUACGUAGGGUCCGAGCGUUGUCCGGAUUUAUUGGGCGUAAAGAGCUCGUAGGCGGUUCAGUAAGUCGGAUGUGAAAACUCAGGGCUCAACCCUGAGACGCCAUCCGAUACUGCUGUGACUUGAGUCUGGUAGGGGAGAACGGAAUUCCAGGUGUAGCGGUGAAAUGCGCAGAUAUCUGGAGGAACACCGAUGGCGAAGGCAGUUCUCUGGGCCAGUACUGACGCUGAGGAGCGAAAGCGUGGGGAGCAAACAGG